rnacentral:rRNA from 1 species
GCCAUACCAUGCUGAAUAUACCGGUUCUCGUUAGAUCACCGAAGUCAAGCAUCAUUGGGCGCGGUCAGUACUUGGGUGGGUGAACACCUGGGAAUACCGCGUGCCGUU